CCUUGAGUAAAUAAUUCAUUGAUUGUAACCAUAUAGCCAUAGUUUUCCAAGGUGAAGUGUUGUGUUUUAUUUUUUACUUCAAACAAAAAGAGAUAUGUUUUUAUACAUAUCGUCUUUUUUAUUACUUAACAACGUAACUCUACAAUUCUACGUAUUGCCCUGAAGAAGUGAAUAAUCAUUCACGAAAACGUUAGGCCGUACAAUUGAUACGCAUUGAGUUUUGGUUUGCAGAUUUCCCCAA
rnacentral:lncRNA from 1 species